GAGAAGUCAGCAAGGAAAUGGGAGGGAAAGGAGGAGAGCAUGGAGUUGUUUCUGAAUACACUCUUAGAGAAAUCUAAAUAAGAAUACUUUGUGUUUGUGAGGGAAGCAGCUAUAAAACAUCACCGCAGGCAUAACUGUGGCCACCGGAGACACAUGAUCAUAGCACCCACCUGUAAAAUUAGUACCAUUGUUUUUCGUUUUGGAGGAGAGGGGGCUGAGCUGAGUGUGAAUUGGGUUCAAAGGAGGAAUCUAUCUGGGAGUUCAAGAAUGAUCCUCAGGACCAAGAAGAUAUGGAUACCACCCAAAUGCUGAAUUGCUUCAGUAAAAUAUUUGCUAUAAUUACUGUUGAAGGACAUCCAGACUAGUGUUGAGCUAGUGCAACAAGAGAAGUUGCACACGGUUAAGAAGUUUGCAGAGCUGUGUGAAGUUGUGGUGUUCCAGGAUACGACACGAUUGUGAGAUGCUUUCAAGGUUGAAAAUAACUUCCCUUUUGCCUCACUCAUGUUGUUGCGACUGGCAGACUCUAGAAUGAAAAAGAAUGUGCUGGAAAUGGCAGGAUCCUGCCAAAACAAAUGGAUGGCACAGUGGAAUCCUGCAUGGAAGUUAUAUGCACUGCGAACUAGGCAUUUUUCUAAGUGACUGCCCAGCUGUAGGUGUGGCUAACACUCUGUAACUCACCUACAAAAUACUUAUUUGUUCAGCCGUACAAGAGAGAGAAAGAAAGAGAGAGAGAGAGAGAAAUUAGCAUGACGCAGUGGCAAAAGUUCCAUUUAAUGAAGAUAAAGUUCCUGAGAAAAGAGUGAAGUGAGUCGUGCCGGGUCCAUGCCUAUGAAAAUGCCACAGCCUGGAGAUUAAAAGGUUUUAGGAGGAAAUAAUACUUUUCUUGUCACUAGUCUUCACUGGCAGAAUGAGCGCAACAGCUGGAAGGCAUAUGCACAGUGUUUACUGGAGCGAUUCUUACACUUUCAGACAGAAGGAAAUCCUGUGCGGGAUUGGAAAGUGCAGAGAGCUGUCACCAGGGAAUAGGCUGUCUGUGUGUCUCUGUGAAAUGAAAGCCGUGCGGACCACAGACUCUGCAGUGGGCACUUCCUGCUCCACUUUCCGGAGCAGAUCAAGAUUCCUUUCUCCCUCCUGCCUAUUUUUUGGGGGGAGGGGGGCAUGUAAAAUCUAGUGAUUGUAUCUGCAAAGAUGCUGAAGAGGUUCAGGAUUUACUUUGUAUCAGACUUCAAAAAAAUCAUAUUAAUCCUGGGUUUCUUGGCAAAGGGUGAUUCUGGAACGUUUGCCAUCUCUCGGGUCACAUAGAUUGCUCUUUGCAGGCUAAUAAGACACUUGAUAUCACUUAGGGCUUUUUCCAGGGGGCGGGAGAAAUGGCAUAGUUUUCAAACUACUGCUUACGUUGAUCGGAAACACCCAGCAAAGAAAAGGGUAAAUUGUGGCACUGUUGAUUGACCACUUUACAGCAAUGUUUGGCAUUCAUGGCUGAUCAUUAAUAAAGAGCAUGCU